rnacentral:rRNA from 1 species
CACUCCUACGGGAGGCAGCAGUGGGGAAUUUUGGACAAUGGGCGAAAGCCUGAUCCAGCAAUGCCGCGUGUGUGAAGAAGGCCUUCGGGUUGUAAAGCACUUUUGUCCGGAAAGAAAUCCUUGGCUCUAAUACAGUCGGGGGAUGACGGUACCGGAAGAAUAAGCACCGGCUAACUACGUGCCAGCAGCCGCGGUAAUACGUAGGGUGCGAGCGUUAAUCGGAAUUACUGGGCGUAAAGCGUGCGCAGGCGGUUUGCUAAGACCGAUGUGAAAUCCCCGGGCUCAACCUGGGAACUGCAUUGGUGACUGGCAGGCUAGAGUAUGGCAGAGGGGGGUAGAAUUCCACGUGUAGCAGUGAAAUGCGUAGAGAUGUGGAGGAAUACCGAUGGCGAAGGCAGCCCCCUGGGCCAAUACUGACGCUCAUGCACGAAAGCGUGGGGAGCAAACAGGAUUAGAUACCCCGGUAGUCCCAUGAU